CCGCGUUCAUGCUUUGGUGGCCAAAACCAGAACACAUCACCUUAGCUACAAAUGCAGAUACCAUAAUCAUCCAUCGACUGCAAAUAUAGUAAUCAGGGUUCCGGGGCAGUCGAAGAAAACUAAGGAGAUAACCGUUAACCAUGCCUCUCUAAAGACUAGGGAGAGAAAACUAACCUCAUUGCUUCAUAUUCUAAAACUCCUGAAUUGCCGUUUCAGUGGGCACAUGGUCUUUUGCUGUUGGGUUGCACUAACUAUAGUGGGACUACAUUAAUAUUUAGAGUAAAAUAUACUCUUAAUAAAUAAAAUUAUGUUUUUAUAAAAAAAAUUAAAAGGUAUAAAUUUAUUUAUGGCAAUGAGUCAACCCUGGAAAUUACAGGAUCAACUUCUUUAAGACUAUCAAUGGAGCAACUUCCCAAAAUCAUCCAAAAUUUUCUUCUGCUUCACUGUAAUAAUAUCUGUAUAGGUUUGGUCAGUUUGAGUAGUUAGGGUCUGGCUUUGUGGCGUCUCUUUCUUCAGUCGGUUUAUUUGUCUAUGUUCCCUGCAGCCCUUGAUAUCCUUUUUUCCACAUUGUUGCCUCUCUUUUAUUAUUAGUUUAAAUGUUGGUUUGUUUCUGAUGAUUCUUUUUAAAGUGAAUUUUCUUUAUCAGGGAAAUUGUUAGGAUGCUUUUCGGGGAUGAGUUCUGGAAGCAUCAGAUCCAUUGCCAGGCAUCCUGAGCUCCCUGUGAUAGGUUCUCGUGUUGAGUUUGUGGCCUAAUUUUUCUCUUUUUGGAUUGCUUAACAUAGUCCAUCUAAUAGAACUCUUUGCUCUUUAUUUAUUUUUCUGGGGCUAAUUUUUCUUCCUGAUCUUCUCAAUCGUUUUUAGGUCUUGGUAGCUAUUUGCGCUUGUGGGAUAUAAAGACACGACAACUUCUUUCAGCAGUAUAUUCCUGGAUGUUAUUUCUGUAAACUCUGAAAUAACUAGUUUGGCAAUCAACAGUUUAACAUUGAGCAUUGCUUUAAUGAUCCUCUAAAAGCUGAAUCACUAAUUUUAAAAGGAUAUCAAUCCAUCAUCUGAACUAGUAACUCAUCCUCUCUCUCUUUUCUUCUCCCACAAGAUUUGAAUGCUUGAGAUGGAACAAUGACAUAGAGAAACUGGACAAAUUGUUAAAUUUCUUAUUCCUUUGGAUAGACUACAGAAUCAGUAUCAGGGUUUGCUGGUCUUAUAUUACAUCGUUGAUUGUGAAUAUUUUUCCAAACUCAUUUUCAGAUGGUGUUUAAUGUCUGGAUUGCAAGAGUUCCUAUUUGAAUGUGGUUAUGGAAUUAUGAGGAUAUGCCACAUUCCAGAUUCAAGUCAUUUUAACCCGCUAUAUUGUAUCAUUGAUGCAGGUUUUACUCAAGCAGCAUCUCGCUAACGUUGUUUUUUAUUCCAAUUUUACUGACAGAGCGAUGAAAAAGAACAAGUUGUUGCGUAGACCUGUGUUCUGGUUUAAUGAGUAGAUGACUUACUUUUGCCAGCAAAGCAAUAAUUACAAGGGAUUAUAAUGUACAGAAUGCUACAAUUGGUCAUUUUCUUUCUAAUUCUAGUUGCUUUAGAUUUCUGUCUAUAGUGUAGGUUAAAUGUUCUAUGAAAUGAAAUACUCGAGGCCGUAGCUUAUUCGAUAGGAUCAUGACGCUAGUUGUCUUCCCUAUGGAAAGAUUCAAAAAAGGGUGGUCUAGAGAAGAAUGAAAAAUCCCAUGUUUCUCUUGAAAUUUUUUUGUUGCAAGCUUUCGAUGUCCAAUGAGAGUUGCGAACUAUGAAAACUUGGUAUGUUUUGGAUCUUUAGGUUUUUGACAUUGCAGCCUCAGUUUUGUCAUUAAUGGUAUAAUUUGUUUAUUCGAAGUGCUAACUAAGCUUAGCUGCUGAUAGUGAAUCCCUUUUGUGCAAGCAGAAAUUACAGUGCAAGCACAGAGUGUGAAUGAGAUACAAAAGGAAAACGAGAAUAGUGCCUGCAAAAAGAAAGAAAGCAUCUAAAGAAAAUGGAUGAAAAAAUAAGGCACCUAAAGAAAAUGAUGGAAGCAAGAGGUCAGAAUCCAAGGAAAAGAGUUGAUGAAAGUAAAGCGAGAUUCGUAACAAGAGAUUACCUACUUUGCUUAUGCUAUUGACAUGGUGAAGGAUGAGAUCACAUGUUGCAACAGGAUAACAGGGCAAGGGUUAUGCUUAUGCAGCAUAUCUUUGGAAUUUCAAGUGGCAGAACAACACUAUUGCUUCUUUCUGCCCUUUGCACUCGAUGUAGACACUUGUUCCAUGCAAUCAAUCAUUUAAGCUACAAAUUUUAA